rnacentral:tRNA from 1 species
GAGAGAGGCCAGUAGCAAUAAAAACUGCUAAUUUUUAUUACCCCGGUUAAACUCCGCGGCUCCCUCG